GUUUGAAGACGGAAGGCUCUAGUUUCUUCUUCUGUAAUUUUACCACAAGUGAUCCUGAAUUUCACAUCCAUGGCGCCCAGCUCUAAGCUUCACAUCGCUAUGUUUCCUUGGCUAGCCUUUGGUCACAUGAUCCCUUACUUGGAGCUCGCCAAGCUCAUAGCUCAAAAGGGUCACAAGGUCUCCUUCAUCUCCACUCCUCGAAACAUUGAUCACCUCCCCAGACUCCAUCCAAAUUUCGUUCCUCUUAUCACUUUUGUGAGGCUUCCAUUGCCUUGGGUCGACGGUCUCCCAGAAAAUGCCGAGGCCACCUCUGAUGUCCCAUAUGACACCGUCCAAUACCUUAAAAAGGCAUACGAUGGUCUCAAAGAACUCAUAACCAGAUUUCUUGAAACUUCAGAUCCGGAUUGGCUUCUUUAUGAUUUUGUUCCUUGCUGGCUUCCUGAAAUAGCUACUAGGCUUGGCAUUUCAAAUGCUUUCUUCAGUAUAUUCUUGGGGUCGACACUGAGUAUUGCGAAGCCACACUCUGCAAUUGAUGAUCGCAAAAAACCUGAAGAUUUCACUGUCCCGCCCAAGUGGGUUUCGUUCCCUACUAAGGUGACGUUUCGUCUAUAUGAGAUCUUAAGAGUCUUCG
rnacentral:misc_RNA from 1 species